GACAAUUAAAUCAACCUGCCAGGUUCCUAUAGCAACAGGCUCCUGAAGGAGAAAGAAGAGAGUGCAGAAACUUCAGGGCCUGUGGAAAUCAAGACAGGGGAGGAGGCCCUCAAAACCAGAUCCAUUGCCCUUCUCAUCCUAGGGAUGAAAAUAAAGCCCCCAGAAAUCUUUUUGGCUCGUGGGAUGAGGCAGGGAGAGGAGACCAGCUCAGGGAUUUGGAUCGACCCUGGACCACUUCAGAACUCAC